UACGUAGGCAGCGAGCGUUGUUCGGAAUUACUGGGCGUAAAGGGUGCGUAGGCGGCGCGGUAAGUCGGGUGUGAAAUCUCGGAGCUUAACUCCGAAACUGCAUUCGAUACUGCCGUGCUUGAGGACUGGAGAGGAGACUGGAAUUUACGGUGUAGCGGUGAAAUGCGUAGAUAUCGGGAGGAACACCGGUGGCGAAGGCGGUUCUCUGGGCCUUACCUGACGCUGAGGAGCGAAAGCGUGGGUAGCAAACAGG
rnacentral:rRNA from 1 species